rfam:Helianthus annuus linkage group 8, whole genome shotgun sequence.
AUACCGUGAUGUGGGUAAUUCUUCAAAGACAUCUUAAAUCGAUUGAAUGCUUCAUGAAAUAGCUCGCUCGACUGUUGUUGGAAAUUUUUGAUAUCCUUCCGAGCAU